ACGAUGAACGAACAUGAUUGCAGAAUCCCUAGGAUCCCUAGGGAACUGCUCAGGAGAGGAUCUGGUUCUUAAACUUAUACCCAAGAAAUUUCAAUCGUCUCCCUCACUCACUCUCUCUGCUCUCACUUGCAGAGAGCCCAUGGCAGCCACGGCCGCCGUGGCCACUCUUCUCCUCACGAGCUUCUUCUUCGCUGCUCUCCACGUCUCUUCGAAUCCAGAUACCAAACCUCUCCUAUCAUUCAAAGCAACGUCGGACGCAUCCAACAAGCUCACCACGUGGAACUCCACCUCCGUUGACCCGUGCACCUGGACCGGCGUCUCCUGCACCAACAACCGAGUCUCCCGACUUGUCCUCGAGAACCUCGACCUCCGCGGCUCGUUCCAGCCACUCACCGCGCUAACUCAGCUCCGAGUUCUGAGCCUCAAGCGUAACCGCCUCUCCUGCCCCAUUCCGGACCUCUCCAACUUCACCGCCCUCAAACUCUUAUUCCUCUCCUACAACGAACUCUCCGGCAACUUUCCAGCCUCCGUGUCCUCUCUCUUCCGUCUCUACCGCCUCGAUCUGUCCUACAACAACUUAUCCGGCGAGAUUCCCGCAACGGUCAACCAUUUGAAUCAUCUUCUCACUCUCCAGCUCGAGGCGAACCGUUUCUCCGGUUCGGAGCCAUAGCGUCUCCUGUAAUGCCUGCUGCUAACCCAACCGUCGUAGCGUCGUCGCCGAGUUCGUUACCCGGGAACUCAGCGCUGAACAAAUCGGGAAAUCCUCACCGAAGUGGUAGCGCGAAAAUGAGUCCGGAGGCUCUAAUCGCCAUUAUAGUUGGCGACGCUUUGGUUCUCGUGCUGGUUUCGCUGCUACUGUACUGCUACUUCUGGCGGAAUUUCAGCGCCAAAAUGCGGCAGGGCAAGGGCGGCUCGAAGCUUCUAGAAACUGAGAAGAUCGUGUACUCGUCGAGCCCCUACUCCGCCGCCCAACCAGUGUUCGAGCGGGGUCGGAUGGUGUUCUUCGAAGCAGUAAAGCGUUUCGAGCUCGAGGACUUGCUCAGGGCCUCGGCGGAGAUGCUGGGGAAAGGCGGGUUCGGGACGGCGUACAAGGCGGUUCUCGACGAUGGCAACGUGGUGGCGGUUAAGAGGCUCAAGGAUGCUCAGAUUGGCGGGAAGACUCAGUUCGAGCAGCACAUGGCGGUGCUGGGGCGGCUCAGCCAUCCCAACAUUGUGAGCUUGAGGGCUUAUUACUUCGCCAGGGAGGAGAAAUUGUUGGUAUACGAUUACAUGCCCAAUGGCAGCCUGUUCUGGGUUCUCCACGGAAACCGUGGACCCGGUCGGACUCCGCUGGACUGGACAACGAGGCUGAAAAUCGCAGCCGGAGCCGCUCGAGGCUUGGCCUGCAUUCACGACUCGUGCGGGCCGCUUAAGCUCACCGGUAACAUCAAGUCCACCAACAUCCUCUUAGACAACACUGGCAACCAGAGGCGGAGCCACAUCUCCGACUUCAGACUCUCCGUUUUCGUGCCUCCUCCGCCCUCCACGUCGUCCGCUCCGCGAUCUUGCGGUUACCGCGCUCCCGAGACGUUGGACGGUCGGAAGUCGACGCAGAAAUCAGACGUGUACGCUUUUGGUGUUCUGCUGCUGGAGCUGCUCACAGGGAAGUGUCCCUCUGUGGUGGAUAAUGGCGGGUCCGGGGGAGGAUUCGGUGGGCUUGUGGACCUGCCCAGGUGGGUCCAGUCUGUGGUCAGGGAAGAAUGGACAGUGGAGGUGUUUGACUUGGAGCUGUGUUGAAUUCUGAUGAGGUACAAGGAUAUUGAGGAGGAGAUGGUGGGGCUUUUGCAGAUUGCAAUGGCUUGUACGGCCGCUUCGCCUGAUCAACGUCCCAGGAUGAGCCAGGUGGUGAAAAUGAUUGACGAGAUUCGGGGCCUGUCUGGUUCGCCGAGUCACGAGGCCGGCUUUGAAUCCAUGUCCGAGUCGUCGGCCUUGUCGGAGGACACUUGCGGAGCAAGUCAGUGAUCGCACCACCAACCAUUUUUAACGUUCUUGUGUUGUAAAUCUACGGGUUUUGUUUUGUUGGCUUCAGUUCCCUUGCCUGCUUAUUUAAUCUCAAAUUUUCGUUUGUGCUAAUUUAAUUACAUCGAUUGCAACGAUUUUAUA